GAUGAACGCUGGCGGCGUGCCUAAUACAUGCAAGUCGAGCGAACAGACGAGGAGCUUGCUCCUCUGACGUUAGCGGCGGACGGGUGAGUAACACGUGGAUAACCUACCUAUAAGACUGGGAUAACUUCGGGAAACCGGAGCUAAUACCGGAUAAUAUAUUGAACCGCAUGGUUCAAUAGUGAAAGACGGUUUUGCUGUCACUUAUAGAUGGAUCCGCGCCGCAUUAGCUAGUUGGUAAGGUAACGGCUUACCAAGGAAACGAUGCGUAGCCGACCUGAGAGGGUGAUCGGCCACACUGGAACUGAGACACGGUCCAGACUCCUACGGGAGGCAGCAGUAGGGAAUCUUCCGCAAUGGGCGAAAGCCUGACGGAGCAACGCCGCGUGAGUGAUGAAGGUCUUCGGAUCGUAAAACUCUGUUAUUAGGGAAAAACAAAUGUGUAAGUAACUAUGCACGUCUUGACGGUACCUAAUCAGAAAGCCACGGCUAACUACGUG
rnacentral:rRNA from 1 species